AUCGCUUCUCGGCCUUUUGGCUAAGAUCAAGUGUAGUAUCUGUUCUUAUCAGUUUAAUAAAUUACUUAGUUUCAGGAGCUCUGUUGUGGCAGCACAAGAUGGGCUUGGACACUAAGCAUUCAAGCCUCUUCUUCCAAUCCUAACAGCCAAAACAAAGUGAUAUGUGCACAAGGUACACAGAGGAACCCUCA